rnacentral:misc_RNA from 1 species
GAAAACCAUCACAAAUAAAAAAUUAAUAAUGAAUUAUUUUAAAAACAUAUGACAAUAAUAAAAUAAAUAUCUGUUUUAGAAAAAAAAAUUGAGUAAAUAUAUUUGUAUUAACAAUAAAAAAUUUUGAGGUCAUCACUAUAAAUGUUUAUAAAUUAAAUAAAAAAAUAUUAACUAAUACAUACGCUAAGUUUAUUAUAAAAGUGUAAAAUAAAAUUAUUGGCUAUUAUAAUUUUGCCACAUGUUAUGGUAUUCUAUUUCAAAUAUUGCUCAUCUGAUGAAAUUGACUUAGAUUAAUAUUAAGGUUUCAUUUUCUCUUGAAGUACUGGCUUUAUUAUUUUGUUAGUCAUCAUAUUUCAAAGCGACAAUUUCAUCUGCAUAUGUAGCAAAUAAAUAGGUGUAUACUUUUGCCGCUUGACACUAUAUGAACGCAUGUCUCUAAGGAUAGGAAAUUGUGCUUUCACAAUCUUAAAAUAAUGCUUUAUGAUAUUGCCUAAUGAAGAAUGCAUAUAAUUAAAUAACUGUUUUGAACCAUUUGUAUUUGAUGUCUCUCCAUAAUCAUGCAAAUGAUAAUGUUGUCCAUAAUAUGAACUAAGAAAACCAUGUAUAUUGGUACACCUAGAAUCAAUCAAUUAAUGUUUACCUUGUGGGGGCAUAGGAAACUCAUUUUCUAAUUUGGUAAUGGUUUCUAAACAAAUUCUUGAAUCAUUUACGAUUUUUUCCUAACUAGUUAUAAAAAAUGUGAAUUUCAUGUUGAAAAAGUACACUCACAUUAUGCUUUGAGUUGGCUCAGUUUUUUCCCACAAUAUGAAAUUCGUUUGUCAACUGGAAUAGAUGUAGAAAUAUGGAUAUCAUCUAUAGCUCUUACACAAUUAUGUAAUUAAAAAUAAAUGAUUAAUAAUAAUAGCAAAACACAAAUUAUUAAAUGAAAUAAAUUCUAAUAUAUGAAUUUGAAUAAAUAAAAAAAUUAAAGAGGUAAUACCUUGAAAAGUGAAAAGUAUUUUGGUUAUUCUUGACCUCUAUAGGUGUUUCUUCAAAUGAUAAAGAAAUAGUCACGUUGGCAAGAGAGCAAAUAGCAUAUAAAACCUUCCUAAAAUAUUUGAAAAUUGUGUUUAUUGAGUGCUGAAAUCAAUCUUCAACAAUUUUUGCCUAUCAUUUUGACAUAUAUCUAUAAGAAAUAUUGCUAGUUGUUCUGGUAUUAAAACAAACCUGGAAUAUCUUAAUUUUGUUUUUCCUUUUAGUUCCUCACAAAGGUUUAAAAAACUUGUUUUUCUAUACGAAAUAAUUCAUAGCAAAAUAGCUUAUUGAAAACUAAGAUUUUUGUUGUUUACAAUUUGUAUUAUAAAAUGUUGAAUAAUUUGAAGGAAAUUUAUCUAUUUUCAAGUAUCCUGAUCAUUCAUAUGGGAGAGCAAAAUUGAGGAUGAAGAGUAUAAGGCUGUCCAAAUAUAUGUCCUAUUAAAUUGCUAUGAAGUUGACACAUAGGUCAAGUAAGUUUAACAUAUCAAAUCUCAAAUUAACUAAUCAAAUGUCAUUGCGGUGAAUUUUUCUUUCCUAUCUAAUAAUUGCAAUUUAAUCAUAUGCUUAGUUAAUUCCUGAAUGUGCUACAAUAGACGUUACAAAAUAUUAGUGAGGCAGAUAUUAAUGAAGCGCUAGAACAAAAAUUUUCAAUUUGGUUCAAAUCUUACGUAGGUGUGAGUGAAUUUUUCACGUCAUUGUCAGUGGCCAAUUAAUUAGUAUGUAAUAAUCACAUAAAAUAUUAUUGUUAUGUUUUAUUAGGCAACACGUUCAAAUAUAGACAAUAAGUUCAUCAAGGAAUUAGCGGAAGGACCAUUGAGAAGUGUGAAA